GAGUUUUUGAUGUCGCAGAUACUGCAUCAGGAACUGAUUGGAUAAUAUUCAGGUACCAUCAGUUCCUAAUGCAUUGCCUUCAGCAUCUAAACA
rnacentral:pre_miRNA from 1 species